GAUGAACGCUGGCGGCGUGCCUAAUACAUGCAAGUCGAGCGAACAGACGAGGAGCUUGCUCCUCUGUCGUUAGCGGCGGACGUGUGAGUAACACGUGUAUAACCUACCUAUAAGACUGGGAUAACUUCGGGAAACCGGAGCUAAUACCGGAUAAUAUAUUGAACCGCAUGGUUCAAUAGUGAAAGACGGUUUUGCUGUCACUUAUAGAUGGAUCCGCGCCGCAUUAGAUAGUUGGUAAGGUAAGGGCUUACCAAGGCAACGAUGCGUAGACGACCUGAGAGGGUGAUAGGCGACACUGGAACUGAGACGCGGUCCAGACUACUACGGGAGGCCGCAGAAGGGAAUCGUCCGCAAUGGGCGAAAGCAUGACGGAGCAACGCGGCGUGAGUGAUGACAGCCUUCGGAGCGUAAAACUCUGUUAUUAGGGAAGAACAAAUGUGUAAGUAACUAUGCCCGUCUUGACGGUACCUAAUCAGAAAGCCACGGCUAACUACGUG
rnacentral:rRNA from 1 species